UUUAAAACUGAUUUACUUGAUAAAUUAUACAAGCAGCCAUAAAGCCUUUUAUAACAGCUAAAUAACACAUAACAUUUGUUAAGGUUAUAGCAUCUGGUAUGUACUGUAGAAUCUUAUGUAGCAUGGUCAUAACAUUUGUUAAGGUUAUAGCAUCUGGUAUGUACUGUAGAAUCUUAUGUAGCAUGGUCAUAACAUUUGUUAAGGUUAUAGCAUCUGGUAUGUACUGUAGAAUCUUAUGUAGCAUGGUCAUAACAUUUGUUAUGGUUAUAGCAUCUGGUAUGUACUGUAGAAUCUUAUGUAGCAUGGUCAUAACAUUUGUUAAGGUUAUAGCAUCUGGUAUGUACUGUAGAAUCUUAUGUAGCAUGGUCAUAACAUUUGUUAUGGUUAUAGCAUCUGGUAUGUACUGUAGAAUCUUAUGUAGCAUGGUCAUAACAUUUGUUAAGGUUAUAGCAUCUGGUAUGUACUGUAGAAUCUUAUGUAGCAUGGUCAUAACAUUUGUUAAGGUUAUAGCAUCUGGUAUGUACUGUAGAAUCUUAUGUAGCAUGGUCAUAACAUUUGUUAAGGUUAUAGCAUCUGGUAUGUACUGUAGAAUCUUAUGUAGCAUGGUCAUAACAUUUGUUAAGGUUAUAGCAUCUGGUAUGUACUGUAGAAUCUUAUGUAGCAUGGUCAUAACAUUUGUUAUGGUUAUAGCAUCUGGUAUGUACUGUAGAAUCUUAUGUAGCAUGGUCAUAACAUUUGUUAUGGUUAUAGCAUCUGGUAUGUACUGUAGAAUCGUAUGUAGCAUGGUCAUAACAUUUGUUAAGGUUAUAGAAUCUUAUGUAGCAUGGUCAUAACAUUUGUUAAGGUUAUAGCAUCUGGUAUGUACUGUAGAAUCGUAUGUAUCAUGGUCAUAACAUUUGUUAAGGUUAUAGAAUCUUAUGUAGCAUGGUCAUAACAUUUGUUAAGGUUAUAGCAUCUGGUAUGUACUGUAGAAUCGUAUGUAUCAUGGUCAUAACAUUUGACAUACACUGUCAUCCAGACUGUAAUUAGCAGUCGUUACUAACAGUUGACAUAUGACAACAGGAUGACCGUGUCUCAGAACUCUUUUUAAAACUACUUAUGACAGAUGUUUUACGUGUUAUAUAGCUGUCAUAAAGGCUUUAUGAAUACAGUCAUAAGGACACCUAGAGUAAAGUGUUACCAGAAAAUCAUAGAUAGACAUUUUUUUUUUGUGUGUGUGUGUGAAUCAUUUUUAGCCCUUUGACUGUAUAAUAAACACGAUGGUUCUUUUCCCUCCUUUGUUCCUGAACUGGGAAAUCACCCCUUUAAAACAUCUCAACUCUUUUGAGGAUGAAAAGUUUAUACAAAGUCCAUGUCCAUCAACAUGAC